AAUUCUGACACCCACCCUCUGUGUACCUUUCCCGUUGCUUCCAUGGGGUAUGGAGCGGGCUGGUCCCGAUAUACUCCAGCUGGGUCAGGAUGUCUCAUUCCCUGACUUGGUGCCCAUGAAUGGACCCUAAAAACCAUUUGUAUUUAUUUUGCCUUCUGUCUGAAUCAUGUUUAUAACAAUCGUUAAAACUUUCAACAACGGAUCUCUUGGUUCUCGCAUCGAUGAAGAACGCAGCGAAAUGCGAUAAGUAGUGUGAAUUGCAGAAUUCAGUGAAUCAUCGAAUCUUUGAACGCACAUUGCGCCUUCUGGUAUUCCGGGAGGCAUGCCUGCUCGAGCGUCAUGACAACGAUAUUCAAGCUCUUUUUUGCUUGGUUCUGAGGGUUGAGUGUUGCAUUUGUGCUCAUUCACCUUUGAAAUUUACAGGCGGACUGCUUCGUGUUCCUUUUAGCGUAUAGGAAACUCUUUCGCUUGGACUCGUGGCUGUCCUGCCUCAACCCCAACUAUUUGGUGUGACUCGGUUG
rnacentral:rRNA from 1 species